CUUUACCUACGGGACGCAGCAGUAGGGAAUCUUCCACAAUGGGCGAAAGCCUGAUGGAGCAACGCCGCGUGGGUGAAGAAGGUCUUCGGAUCGUAAAACCCUGUUGUUAGAGAAGAAAGUGCGUGAGAGUAACUGUUCACGUUUCGACGAUAUCUAACCAGAAAGCCACGGCUAACUACGUGCCAGCAGCCGCGGUAAUACGUAGGUGGCAAGCGUUAUCCGGAUUUAUUGGGCGUAAAGGGAACGCAGGCGGGCUUUUAAGUCUGAUGUGAAAGCCUUCGGCCUAACCGGAGUAGUGC
rnacentral:rRNA from 1 species